rnacentral:rRNA from 1 species
UACGGAGGGGGCUAGCGUUGUUCGGAAUUACUGGGCGUAAAGCGCGCGUAGGCGGACCUGCAAGUCGGGGGUGAAAGCCCGAGGCUCAACCUCGGAACUGCCUUCGAUACUGCGGGUCUCGAGUCCGGGAGAGGUGAGUGGAAUUCCUAGUGUAGAGGUGAAAUUCGUAGAUAUUAGGAAGAACACCAGUGGCGAAGGCGGCUCACUGGCCCGGUACUGACGCUGAGGCGCGGAAAGCGUGGGGGAGCAAACAGG